GAGGUUUGCUAGCAAACCAAACUCUAACAAAGAACACUGUUUAUUUUUUCUUUUCUUUUCUUGAGAUAGAUAUUUUUUAUUUUAAGUUCUGGGAUACAUGUGCAGAACGUGCAGGUUUGCUAUUUGCUGCACCUAUCAACCCAUCAUCUAGGUUUUAAGCCCUGUUUUGAUUUGAAUAUUAUUCAAUACAAAUGAAGAUUGAAAUGUGGACAUUUAUGCUAAGAACAGCUUCUGGAAUUAUAGAUUUGCCUUGUAUUCUUACCAAUUGUAAGACGGAUAAACAAGCAGAAAUUCAAAAUGACAUAAUUAUAUUUCUUUGCAUCUGGAUUUUAUUCUGUUCCUGGUUCAAGUUUCAAGAUUGUCAAGAAUGACGAGUUGGACUUGGUCUAGUUACUUCCACAGCAGCAGGAGGAACAUGUGUGUGACUCAGGAUAACUGGGGAAGCCUUGGCUAGGCUUUCCUCAUGUCAACCUACCACUCAAAGGGAGAAAACCUCCUGAUCAGAGGUGCCCAGAACCCAGGAAAUCCAUAAUUUUUGAAUGCUGGCCGAGGUCUGUGACCUCUGACUGAAUGGUUUCCAAGCUCCGAAUUCCUAGGUGAUGUUUUCAUUUGUUCACACUUGCUGAAGAAGGGAAAGGCUCUCUGAUUUACGUGUAAGCAAAACAAUCUAAACAGUAGGAUAAAAUCAUGUUGGAAUGGAGUUCUGUGUGGAUGCUCCUUUGA
rnacentral:lncRNA from 1 species